UACAGAGGUCUCAAGCGUUGUUCGGAAUUACUGGGCGUAAAGGGCUCGUAGGUGGCCAACUAAGUCAGACGUGAAAUCCCUCAGCUUAACUGGGGAACUGCGUCUGAUACUGGAUGGCUUGAGUUUGGGAGAGGGAUGCGGAAUUCCAGGUGUAGCGGUGAAAUGCGUAGAUAUCUGGAGGAACACCGGUGGCGAAGGCGGCAUCCUGGACCAACACUGACACUGAGGAGCGAAAGCCAGGGGAGCAAACGGG
rnacentral:rRNA from 1 species